AUGUGAAAAGACUGAAGAUUCUGCCAAGAGUACAGAAGCCAAAUCAAGGAAACGAGGAAACGCACUCAAUCCCAUUGGUUCUAAGAGUCGAACAGCACUCAAGUCCAAAGCUACAGUUUCUGAAGGCGAGAGUACAAGUGAAGAAAUGGUAGAGGGCCAGAUUAAUAAAGAGACCUGUUCAUCACAAAAAUCUACAGAGAAAAUAUCUGACAAUGAUUCUUCAGAUCAAGAGACCACUGUGCUGAUAUCAAGACCAACUAGAUCUGGGAGAAUUUCCAAACCUGUGCAAGCCUUAAAUUACCCGGCAAAAGAGGAUACAAACUCAUCAGAUACCACUAUGACCUCGCCUGCACGUAAGACUGCUACAAAAGCCAAAGGCAAAGGCUCUGGGAAGAGGGGAAGAACGGGAAGAUCAGCACAACAACAAUCAGCAAAAGAGUCAAAGAAACCCAAAUUGAUAACACUCAGAGCCUCCCAGUCAGAAGAGAGUGACAAUGAAGAAGAGGAACCUGAUGCACCACAUGACGACGAUGAGAACAGUACAAGUGCGUUUGUGCCGGCCAGUCUGUGCUCGCCCAGACCUGUGGUCCCACAGGUAGAGGAGACGAUGGAAGAGCUUGACAUUUUGACCCACAUGCCUGAUGUGUUGGGUUUGUCCAAGAAUGCUCUGUGCCCUGAUGACUCAUGUGAGCAAGUACAAAAUGAAAGCGGCACUGUUGAACCCUGUGAGCAUCAGCUGGACCUGCUUGUUGAUGUCAUUGACUUCCUUUCAGAACAUACAGAAACAUCAGGGGAUGAAGGCUACAACGAGGCUGCUCAAACCUUGUUGACGUUUGGAAAUCUGGCUAGUCUGUCCCAACCGACAGAGAGUCAGUCAUCGAUGUCAGAUCACACAUCAAAUAUUGAAAGCAGCCAAUGCAUUGAAGUAGAUGAUACAUCAAAGUCUUCUUUGCAGCUAGAAGAAUGCCCUCAGUCAGUUUCACAACCAUCAACUGAAGACAGCGCAACAGUACAGCUACCAGUGACUCAUACCUCUGACACACAGGCUAUUAUAUCUAGUGGGGAAUUGUGUAGCACACAAGAGAAGUCGUCACCUCUCAGGAAGGGAAGGUUUUCUAAGAUAAAACCUAAGCCUAACCUUGGUUCUAGGACUACAAAGCUGUGCACACAGACUGUUGGGGCUGCUAUAGAAACCAAACGGGUUGAAUUGGACACUGCAACAAUCAGUCAUCCCCAAUCUUCAGAACAACUGGAAUUUACUCGGGCUGUGUCCAAACCAUCACACACUGAAAACAGACCAACAGACAAUGCAACAAAAGUGAUGCCAGCGUCCUGUAUUUCUAAUAAACAAGUUGGUUAUGAUCAGUGUGGAAUACCAGAGACAGCCAUGUGUACUAAACUUACUCCAGAAACUACAAAUAACUUGUCUUUGAUCAAAGAGGACACAACAACAAUGCAAAAUGUUCUUUGUAAUUUAAGGACCACAACACAGACUGUUGAAGAAAGGACACAGAUUUCUGAUGACAUCGCAACAACCAGUCAGCUCAGAUCUUUAGAAUAUGAGGAGGAUUCCACUCAGACGGUCUCAGGACAAUCCAACACUAAAAAUCUAGCAUCACUCAGUACAAGGAAUGAGAUGCCAGAAUCACACACUUCUGAUACACAAGUCAUUAAACCCAGUGAUGAAUCCUGUAGCUCACGAGAAACCACUACUUCUCAACUUGCUUCUGUAAGUGCUAAUAAUUCUCCAAUAUCAAGGAAAGGAAGACUCUCGAAUCUUAAACCUAAGCCAAACAUUGGGUGUGCUUCAAGGGCUACAAAAUUGUCUUCAAAAUCAAGUGUUACCAAUGAGGAAAAAAGGCAGAUUGAGUGUGAAAUUGCAGCAACAGGUGAGCCCCAGUCACCUGCACUUUCAGUCUCAGAAUCUGCCACAGUAUCA
ensembl:lncRNA